GGAUUGAUGAUGAGAACAACUGCCCAAGGACACUGAAUGACUCAUAAGAAAUUCCAAUCUGAGGUCC